GAUGAACGCUGGCGGCGUGCCUAAUACAUGCAAGUCGAGCGAACAGACGAGGAGCUUGCUCCUCUGACGUUAGCGGCGGACGGGUGAGUAACACGUGGAUAACCUACCUAUAAGACUGGGAUAACUUCGGGAAACCGGAGCUAAUACCGGAUAAUAUAUUGAACCGCAUGGUUCAAUAGUGAAAGACGGUUUUGCUGUCACUUAUAGAUGGAUCCGCGCCGCAUUAGCUAGUUGGUAAGGUAACGGCUUACCAAGGCAACGAUGCGUAGCCGACCUGAGAGGGUGAUCGGCCACACUGGAACUGAGACACGUUCCAGACUCCUACGGGAGGCAGCAGUAGGGAAUCUUCCGCAAUGGGCGAAAGCCUGACGGAGCAACGCCGCGUGAGUGAUGAAGGUCUUUGGAUCGUAAAACUCUGUUAUUAGGGAAGAACAAAUGUGUAAGUAACUAUGCACGUCUUGACGGUACCUAAUCAGAAAGCCACGGCUAACUACGUG
rnacentral:rRNA from 1 species